rnacentral:rRNA from 1 species
UACGGGGGGGGCAAGCGUUGUUCGGAAUUACUGGGCGUAAAGCGUGCGCAGGCGGUGAUGUAAGACAGGUGUGAAAUCCCCGGGCUCAACCUGGGACCUGCAUUUGUGACUGCAAAGCUAGGGUACGGUAGAGGGGGAUGGAAUUCCGCGUGUAGCAGUGAAAUGCGUAGAUAUGCGGAGGAACACCGAUGGCGAAGGCAAUCCCCUGGACCUGUACUGACGCUCAUGCACGAAAGCGUGGGGAGCAAACAGG